CAGUAGCCGCGGUAAUGCGAAGGGUGCAAGCGUUAAUCGGAAUUACUGGGCGUAAAGCGUGCGUAGGCGGUGAGUUAUGUCUGCUGUGAAAUCCCCGGGCUCAACCUGGGAAUGGCAGUGGAUACUGGCUCGCUAGAGUGUGUCAGAGGAUGGUGGAAUUCCCGGUGUAGCGGUGAAAUGCGUAGAGAUCGGGAGGAACAUCAGUGGCGAAGGCGGCCAUCUGGGACAACACUGACGCUGAGGCACGAAAGCGUGGGGAGCAAACAGGAUUAGAUACCCGUGUAGUCCCUGUCUCUUAUAC
rnacentral:rRNA from 1 species